rnacentral:rRNA from 1 species
ACGAACGCUGGCGGCGUGCUUAACCCAUGCAAGUCGAACGCUGAAGCUUGGUGCUUGCACUGGGUGGAUGAGUGGCGAACGGGUGAGUAAUACGUGAGUAACCUGCCCUUGACUCUGGGAUAAGCCUGGGAAACUGGGUCUAAUACUGGAUAUGACAUGCCACUGCAUGGUGGUGUGUGGAAAGGGUUUUACUGGUUUUGGAUGGGCUCACGGCCUAUCAGCUUGUUGGUGGGGUAAUGGCCUACCAAGGCGACGACGGGUAGCCGGCCUGAGAGGGUGACCGGCCACACUGGGACUGAGACACGGCCCAGACUCCUACGGGAGGCAGCAGUGGGGAAUAUUGCACAAUGGGCGGAAGCCUGAUGCAGCGACGCCGCGUGAGGGAUGACGGCCUUCGGGUUGUAAACCUCUUUCAGCACGGAAGAAGCGAGAGUGACGGUACGUGCAGAAGAAGCGCCGGCUAACUACGUG